rnacentral:rRNA from 1 species
CACGUAGUUAGCCGGUGCUUCUUCUACAUCUACCGUCACCCGAAGGCUUCGUCGAUGUCGAAAGAGGUUUACAACCCGAAGGCCGUCAUCCCCCACGCGGCGUUGCUGCGUCAGGCUUUCGUCCCAUUGCGCAAGAUUCCCCACCUGCUGCCUCCCGUAGGAGUCUGGGCCGUGUCUCAGUCCCAGUGUGGCCGGUCACCCUCUCAGGCCGGCUACCCGUCGUCGCCUUGGUAGGCCAUCACCCCACCAACAAGCUGAUAGGCCGCGGGCUCAACCUGCACCGCCGGAACUUUCCACACGCAGACCAUGCGGCCACGUGUCCUAUCCGGUAUUAGACCCCGUUUCCAGGGCUUAUCCCAGAGUGCAGGGCAGAUUACCCACGUGUUACUCACCCGUUCGCCACUCAUCCACACCCGAAGAUGCUUCAGCGUUCGACUUGCAUGUGUUAAGCACGCCGCCAGCGUUCGUCCUGAGCCAGGAUCAAACUCU